UACAGAGGGUGCGAGCGUUGUCCGGAAUCACUGGGCGUAAAGGGCGCGUAGGUGGCGACCCAAGUCCAUGGUGAAAGCUCGAUGCUCAACAUCGAGUCGGCCACGGAUACUGGGUUGCUCGAGCACUGUAGAGGCUAAUGGAAUUCCGGGUGUAGCGGUGGAAUGCGUAGAUAUCGUAAGGAAGACCAGUGGCGAAGGCGGGUCUCUGGACAGUUCCUGACGCUGAGGCACGAAGGUCAGGGGAGCAAACGGG
rnacentral:rRNA from 1 species